rnacentral:rRNA from 1 species
UUGCACGCUGGCGGCAGGCCUCACACAUGCCAGUCGAACGGUAACAGGAAACAGCUUGCUGUUUCGCUGACGAGUGGCGGACGGGUGAGUAAUGUCUGGGAAACUGCCUGAUGGAGGGGGAUAACUACUGGAAACGGUAGCUAAUACCGCAUAACGUCGCAAGACCAAAGAGGGGGACCUUCGGGCCUCUUGCCAUCGGAUGUGCCCAGAUGGGAUUAGCUAGUAGGUGGGGUAACGGCUCACCUAGGCGACGAUCCCUAGCUGGUCUGAGAGGAUGACCAGCCACACUGGAACUGAGACACGGUCCAGACUCCUACGGGAGGCAGCAGUGGGGAAUAUUGCACAAUGGGCGCAAGCCUGAUGCAGCCAUGCCGCGUGUAUGAAGAAGGCCUUCGGGUUGUAAAGUACUUUCAGCGGGGAUGAAGGGAGUAAAGUUAAUACCUUUGCUCAUUGACGUUACCCGCAGAAGAAGCACCGGCUAACUCCGUG